AUUCGUAGUUGCCAUCAGGUAAAGCUGGGAACUCUACGGAGACUGCCGGUGAUAAACCGGAGGAAGGUGGGGAUGACGUCAAGUCAUCGUGGCCCUUACGUCCCGGGCUGCAAACGUGCUACAAUGGUCGGUACAAAGAGAUGCAAGACCGCGAGGUGGAGCAAAUCUCAAAAAACCGAUCUCAGUUCGGAUUGCAGUCUGCAACUCGACUGCAUGAAGUUGGAAUCGCUAGUAAUCGCGGAUCAGCAUGCCGCGGUGAAUACGUUCCCGGGUCUU
rnacentral:rRNA from 1 species